AUUGAACGCUAGCGGGAUGCUUUACACAUGCAAGUCGAACGGCAGCGCGGACUUCGGUCUGGCGGCGAGUGGCGAACGGGUGAGUAAUGUAUCGGAACGUGCCCAGUAGCGGGGGAUAACUACGCGAAAGCGUAGCUAAUACCGCAUACGCUCUACGGGGGAAAGCAGGGGAUCGUAAGACCUUGCACUAUUGGAGCGGCCGAUAUCGGAUUAGCUAGUUGGUGAGGUAACGGCUCACCAAGGCGACGAUCCGUAGCUGGUUUGAGAGGACGACCAGCCACACUGGGACUGAGACACGGCCCAGACUCCUACGGGAGGCAGCAGUGGGGAAUUUUGGACAAUGGGGGCAACCCUGAUCCAGCCAUCCCGCGUGUGCGAUGAAGGCCUUCGGGUUGUAAAGCACUUUUGGCAGGAAAGAAACGUCGCGGGCUAAUACCCCGUGGAACUGACGGUACCUGCAGAAUAAGCACCGGCUAACUACGUG
rnacentral:rRNA from 1 species